CCUACGGGUGGCAGCAGUGGGGAAUAUUGCACAAUGGGGGCAACCCUGAUGCAGCGACGCCGCGUGAUUGAAGACGUAUUUCGGUAUGUAAAGCUCUUUCAGCAGGGAAGAAAUUUACGGUACCUGACUAAGAAACCCCGGCUAACUACGGUCCAGCAGCCGCGGUAAUACGUAGGGGGCCCGCGUUAUUCGGGUUUACUGGGUGUUAAGGGAGCGUAGACGGCAGAGCAAGUCUGAAGUGAAAGCCUGCGGCCCAACCGCGGGACUGCCUUGGAAACUGCCCGGCUAGAGUGAUGGAGAGGUAAGCGGAAUUCCUAGUGUAGCGGUGAAAUGCGUAGAUAUUAGGAGGAACACCAGUGGCGAAGGCGGCCUACUGGACAGUAACUGACGCUGAGGCUCGAAAGCGUGGGGAGCAAACAGGAUUAGAUACCCGAGUAGUC
rnacentral:rRNA from 1 species